rnacentral:rRNA from 1 species
CCUACGGGUGGCAGCAGUGGGGAAUAUUGGGCAAUGGGCGAAAGCCUGACCCAGCAACGCCGCGUGAAGGAAGAAGGCUCUCGGGUUGUAAACUUCUUUUAAGAGGGAAGAGCAGAAGACGGUACCUCUUGAAUAAGCCACGGCUAACUACGUGCCAGCAGCCGCGGUAAUACGGAGGUGGCAAGUGUUGUCCGGAUUUACUGGGUGUAAGGGGCGUGUAGCCGGGCUGACAAGUCAGAUGUGAAAUUCCGGGGCUCAACCCCGGACCUGCAUUUGAAACUGUUGGUCUUGAGUAUCGGAGAGGCAGGCGGAAUUCCUAGUGUAGCGGUGAAAUGCGUAGAUAUUAGGAGGAACACCAGUGGCGAAGGCGGCCUGCUGGACGACAACUGACGGUGAGGCGCGAAAGCGUGGGGAGCAAACAGGAUUAGAUACCCGGGUAGUC